rnacentral:rRNA from 1 species
GAUGAACGCUGGCGGCGUGCCUAAUACAUGCAAGUCGAGCGAACAGACGAGGAGCUUGCUCCUCUGAUGUUAGCGGCGGACGGGUGAGUAACACGUGGAUAACCUACCUAUAAGACUGGGAUAACUUCGGGAAACCGGAGCUAAUACCGGAUAACAUGUUGAACCGCAUGGUUCAACAGUGAAAGACGGUCUUGCUGUCACUUAUAGAUGAAUCCGCGCCGCAUUAGCUAGUUGGUAAGGUAACGGCUUACCAAGGCAACGAUGCGUAGCCGACCUGAGAGGGUGAUCGGCCACCCUGGAACUGAGACACGGUCCAGACUCCUACGGGAGGCAGCAGUAGGGAAUCUUCCGCAAUGGGCGAAAGCCUGACGGAGCAACGCCGCGUGAGUGAAGAAGGUCUUCGGAUCGUAAAACUCUGUUAUUAGGGAAGAACAAAUGUGUAAGUAACUAUGCACGUCUUGACGGUACCUAAUCAGAAAGCCACGGCUAACUACGUG